rnacentral:misc_RNA from 1 species
GGAACUUUCAGCCAGACCCUAGCAGUCUCGUCAACAGCAUUCGUGUCCAAGCUUUUUGUUCUUUGUAAAGAAAACUGCAUCUUUUACUGAUACUUGGAUAAAAAAAAUUAUUUUUAAAUUAUUUUUUUUUUAAACUUGAAUAUCAGUUGAUUUGUGAGUCUGUAGUUGUGAUGCUAUCUUAAAUUUUUUUUAACAAAGAUCUGUAAAACUGUUCUAGUGAUUUUUAAAGAUACAGACUAACUGAUUUUUUGUAUUUUAUGAUUAGCAAGUCAUUCUCUUGUAAAAGCCAAAUUCUUUGUAACCAAGAUUGUAACAUUAUGUCAAUGUUUGAACAAAACUAUGUAAUAAUAUUUCUUGGUUGUGAAUUAUAGAGUAACAUGCCUAAGGCUCAUUCAACAGAAUUUCUAUAGAAAACAAACUUUCUGAAAGUGCUAGAAUUGUGUACAGGAUUUGUAAAUAGUUAUCUGUGGAUUAGAAAUGUUAUGGUCACACUGUCUGGUGGCUCUACACUGGACAGGCUCCCACUGAAAUCCACCGCACAUGUUUGUAAUCUGUAUUCUACCAUCACUCUGUAAGCAAUAGAACAACUUGGAUUUGUUGCAAUAUUUUUUUUAUCCCUACCUGUGCAGAGGACACAGGGUAUUUUAACUUAUAGUCUGUAGAGAAAAUAUUCUCUGUUAUAACGAGGAUUUCGUAGUAGAGAGGACGAGAUCUGGCACUGUCAGAGUUAUUGCCCUUCACUUUGUCAUUAGUUUCUGGAAUAUUUAUUCUACUCUGGUAUCAAAAUCAUUGGAACAGUAACUUUUAUUGUCCUUUCCUUUUUAUUUUGGUAAGUGGGAGGGGAGAUGUUGAAUUGUCUGUGGAUAUACAGAUACCAGCAUUUCUGAUCUGGGACCAGGCCAUGAUUGGUCAACAUCAUUGUAAGUCACCGUUCCCUGACUGUGAAUGAAGUGUGCAGAUAUUUAUGUGUGUGACUGUUGGCUUACUGAGCAGGGUAUGCUUUUGUUUGUAUGUUUGUCUGCAUGUGUGAAAAACUGAUAGGAAGGAUGACUAAGAGUGUAUAGGGGUGAAAAUCUGUAUUCCUUUUUCUUUUCUAACAAAACCAAGUUUCAUGCAUAAGCUUUUCUGCAUCCAGUUGUUUUGGAGAGCAUGAAGGGGCAAAAUAAUUACUUGUAUAUUUCAUUAUUCUUGAGCAAAAAACUAAUUAUUAAAAUGAUGUCAACACAUG